rnacentral:rRNA from 1 species
CCUACGGGUGGCAGCAGUGAGGAAUAUUGGUCAAUGGACGAGAGUCUGAACCAGCCAAGUAGCGUGAAGGAUGACUGCCCUAUGGGUUGUAAACUUCUUUUAUAAAGGAAUAAAACGAGGCACGUGUGCGGUUUGGAGAGUACCCGGAGAAAAAGCAUCGGCUAACUCCGUGCCAGCAGCCGCGGUAAUACGGAGGAUGCGAGCGUUAUCCGGAUUUAUUGGGUUUAAAGGGUGCGUAGGCGGACGCUUAAGUCAGCGGUAAAAUUGAGGGGCUCAACCUCGUCGAGCCGUUGAAACUGGGUGCCUUGAGUGGGCGAGAAGUACGCGGAAUGCGUGGUGUAGCGGUGAAAUGCAUAGAUAUCACGCAGAACUCCGAUUGCGAAGGCAGCGUACCGGCGCCCAACCGACGCUGAAGCACGAAGGCGUGGGUAUCGAACAGGAUUAGAUACCCGGGUAGUC